GUUCGUGAUUGGUCGAAAGCAGCCUGUCGUCGCAGUGACGUCACCGGGGCCGGGUGGGAGGAUGAGACGUAGAGAAAAAAACACGGAGUCGGAGAGGAGGUGAGAGGAGACCACCGGAGGAUGAGUGAGGGGACAGCGUGCUGCAUCCUCACUCACGAGCUCGGACUAAAGGAGGAGACACGCGAAGACCAUCCCGCUAAUACACACCAGCGCGAGAGCCGGGGAGAAACACUCUCGUGGACACGGAUACAAACACACGUUUCAACAAGGAUACAACACGGCACCCCGCGGACACCCGGGCUCGAGGGGGACGCUGUGGGAUUUAUCGAUACGAUCCACGCGCUCACCUGUUUGUCAUGCACGUGUCCUCGUGCAUAUGUGGAGCCUGAGUGAAGCUGCAGAGUGUUCUUGAACGUGGAUGCUUUCAGUCUCCAUGGGUACAGGAGGCGUGUUACACCAUGUCAAAGUGAGUUUUCUGUCUCUCUUUUUUUUCUUCUUCUUCUUUUUUUAUUUACAUCAUCUCCAGACGUGUUGAAUAAAGUACAUCUCACUAUUUCAGCCUGGUGAUGCACGAGUUUAAUGUUUAAAAAUAUAGGGGUAUUUUUUUUGAUCAAUUCAUCUUUACAUUCAAGUCUGAUGUUAAGACGAGGUUCAUUAUCAGAGUCACAAUUUAUUACACCGAUCACAUGGGCUAUUCUGCAUAAUUUCUCAUAGUAAAAAUGCACAUGAAUAAAAACAUCAGCUUUAAUUGAACAAAGUCAGGGUUAGGUGAGUUUACACACAUAAAGCUGGAGCAUAAACAGGCCUUUUUACACAGCUGCAACAAGAGCCCUUUCAUUUACACUUCACACCUUUGGUAACAAAAAAGCUGUAGUCUAAUUGAUGUUCUCCUCUUUCAAAAGAAAACUAAACCAAAAAACUUUAAAAUCUUCUCUCUAAUAAAUGUUUGUUUCAUUUAAAGGCAUUAAAAUGACAUUAAAUCUGUGUGAGAAUUUUCUCCCACAUACAAAGAAAGUGACGCACGCCUCAUAUUCCCCAAUUAAAACAACUGACGUCAGACGCACUGUCAGAGAAAAGCGUGAGUUCAUCAUUAGGUUAUCACAAGUUUACAGAUUAUAAUUGGCUGAAAAAAUGCAGGUUAAAACUGGACAUUAUUGUAUUUUCUCAAUUCUUUCAAAAUGAUGUGAAAUAGCUGUACAUGUAAUAGAAGACAGAGCCUUUAGGACUGCUCACCUUAGAGAAUUAUAAAACUAUAUGAAGAAUAUAAGUGAAGCAUUGUGUAACUAUCUUAAAACAGAAGAUGUAAGACUGCAUAAACCCUCAAAUGGCCACAUUGGAAAAGAUCUACUUUCAUGAUGAGAACAAUUAUCAUUCUGCUAAAAUAACUUGUGGAGCUAAUUUAAUGUCAAAGGUGUCUAAAGCAAAGCAGGAGGAGGUAUCUUUAGAAAGAUGGUGAUUUCUUUAACAAAAAAAAAGUAUGGGAAGAGGAACAGACAUUUAUUUUAAAAAAAUUGAAUAUUGUCUAGACUACAUGUUGUAUCUAAUAUUUAAAAGUUCAGUACUGUCAAACAGGGAUUUAAAGUUCAAUGAUAGGAGGUGAAACACUUCUUAAUAGGCUCAUACAGUUCAGGCUGAACUCCAUACAGACUUGUUCAUUUAGUGAGGUAGGAUUAAAGCUUACUGCACAUGUCCAAAAUUGUCAGUCACAUUCACAAUGUUGCAUAUUAUUUAAUUUUGAAAAACACACAAUAGAAAACACUUUUUCUUGUUCUUCAAAUUUUCUCACAGGUAUGAUACAAAAAUACAAAUGUAAUUCUGAAUGUGAAAUCUGUUAAAGGCUUAGAUUCAUAGAUAUAAUGUUGUUUACUCACAGGAAUCUACAGACUUACAUUUGACUGUGACAGUAAAGAGUGGAGCCUGUUCCUGUCUUUGGUUAUCUAGCUGUAUGAGUGUUAAUCAUCCAUCAUAAAGCUAGAUAACCGAAAGUAGGAAUGCACUCCAAACUCUCUGAUUCCUUCAAGGAAGAGGCAGACACCAGAGGAUGGCACAUCUUAACAGGUGGGUUACAGACAUUUUUUAUUUUAUCUUUUUAUUAUUGUCAAUUUCUUUUUUUAAAUGUUAAAGUAUAAGAAAGUAUAAGUUAUUGUCCCAGCACUAGUAAUCAGUGGAUUUAUGGCGAAGAAAAAGUAAUAGCUCCCUAUUUUACCAGUCUCAGCUUCAUGUAUCUUAAAAUGUUCUUUUGUGAAAAUAAAUUACACAUCUUUGUAUUUAGUCCAUUGUUCAGACAUGAUAAGAAGUUUAAGCAAUGUAUUUGGGUAUUGAACAAUGUUUUUUAUUUUUUUUAAACAAAUGUUAUCGCAUAUUACUGAAAAUAACUUUUGGUUUCCUCUCUAGUCACAAAAAAGAUAUAGACAACUGUGCACCAAAACAGUUUUUAUGUCUUUAUUAUUUUAGCAUCUUUGUGUAUUAAAAAUGCUUUGAAAAUAUCACCCGAGAUGAGGUGUAUACAUCAAUAUCUCAUUCAGUUUCCACUUCUCAAAUACCUAAUGGUGUUUUUUACGCACACACACACACACACACACACACACAGUAAUACUCACUGUUUUGUGUAUCGUUUCCAUGGGAUUAACUUUGUUUUGUCAUCAAUCAAUGACCUCAGGUAACAAGGCAAGACAUGUUUAUUUGUAAGUACAUUUUGACACUAAAGCAAUUCACAGUGCCUCGCACAAGACAUGAAAAAAUGGCUGAGGUUCAUUCACAACAGAAGACAUUUAAAAGUAAUGAAAAUACUUAGAAAAUCAAAGCAAUAAUGACAUUUAAAACAUCAAAAACAUAAGGUUAUAGCACAUGAAAGUUUCUAAUACAAGCCUAAAAGUUAUGGUACAUGCUGUUAAAUGAAAUAGGCAUUAUAAUGAUUUAACAAAUAAUUGAGUAAAAGAGCUACAAAAAGGUGAGUCUUUAUCCUGGAUUAAAAAAAAAAAAAAACUGUUUCAGCAAAUCUUACAUUUUCUGGAGGUUUGUUUCAGAUGUCUGGAGCAUAAAAAAUGAAAACUGCACCUUCACAUUUGGUUCUAACUCUUUGGAUUAGUCCAAGAAGACCUGAGUUUGCUAGAUGGUUUGAAGUGAAUGAGGAAAUUGCUUUAAAUCAUUUACUGCUUAACACACCAGCAGCAGUGUUUUAAAAUCUGAUCUUUGACAACCAGGCAGCCGUGGUUAAGACGUCUGAAGUGGAUUGAUGUGAUCUGCUCCUCUUGGUUUUAGUGAGGACUUGAGCAGCAGAGUUCUGAAUUCACUGAGAUAAGCUGUGAGGGUGAUCAUGUCAAAUGAAGAUGAAUACAUGGACCUGUUAUUCUAAGUCCUGCUGGGACCUAAGUUAUGAAAGUUUAAAAAAAGAUGCUUUCUUUUUUAGGGAGUUUUUUAUUUUGCUCCAAAGUCGUAGUUCAGUGUAGUUGCCUCAUCACUGUAAAAUCUGUCAAACAAACCUGAACCCAUUAGAAACAGAACAAAAUUAACUGUUUUUCAGUUUUUCUGAAUGAUUGAGAUGAUACAAUUUUAAUCUGCAGAACACCUACCUGAGCUGAAUCAAAAAACACCACCAUGAGGUCAUUAGAUCCUAAUUUUUUUAGAUAAUUGAUUCAAAGGAGAUUUUACUUUUCUAUUGUAGAAAAAAAAAACAGUUAUAAUUUUCUCUAUUUUUGCAUAACUGUUACUUUUGUCUUGUUAUUAUGCUCCACUGGAUUCUACAUGACCUCUUCUUUUUCUGUAGGUUUUAACACAUCCAUAAAACACAUCAUUUUAAUUUGGAUUACACAAAGGCUUUUUAGUGACAUUUAAAGCAUACUGUAACCUGUUAUUUUACAGAGGUUAAAAUACAAAAUGAAAAUGUUAAUAAUGGUGAUGAAAAAUCCUGUUAUAUAUUUUCCUCAGAUCUAACCUGCAUUUUACAUCCUGUGUUUACUCAGACAGAGAGGCCUUUUCUUAACUCAUAUCAGUCUGAUCAGGUUGGAGCUCAGUCUUCUUCUUCUCUGUCUAAGCAUCAUGUUGUCUCUAUGGAGGCCAUCUUGGCUGAGUCUCCUGCUGCUUGGUUGUAAAAUGGUUGUUGGCACAAAGCAGCCGUAUUAAUUGCUCGAUCGUUAGCGUUCUGCCUGACUGUAAUCAGUCAGUCUUUUAGCCGCUCUGUCCUGUCUAAUGUCUGAUCUCACAUCUUCUCCUAGCUUAUCGUAAAGGUCAUAUUACUGUCAUCUUUACAGGUCAAUCAGCCAGGCAGUGUAUAUACAGUUUAUGACAACUUUACAUUAAGCAAUGGAUGAAUAUAAGUGAUUCACGUAAAGAUGAUCCAAGGACAUUUGGAAAGAUAAAAGCAGCUGAACACCCCUGAGAGUCCACUGAUCUCACAUCAGCCAGUCUAAUGAGCUGCUCGAGGUCAUGCAAACAUUGGCAGACGAUCUCUAAAUCAUGAAGCCUUAAUAACCAAAGUUAGAUCUAAAAUUCAAAUGGUUUUUGACAUGACAGACUAAUAACUUCAAUAAACAAUAAAGUGAUCAAUAAUUAAUGUGUGUACAUGAACAGUAUGCAUUUAAAAAAAGAUUAGACAUUUAUUUGCAGUCUGAGGUGAAUAAAAGACUAAAACCACUAAUGUUACACAUCUAUUAUAUGUGAAAACAGCAUGAAAGGGUAAUCCAGAAAACUUGAAGGAAAUAAAGACAUAGAAAUAAAAAAAGAGUAAAUAAAGAAAUACCUCUCUAUGCCUUUAAAUACAUUUCUUGUUAAUUUUUUAUUUAAAAAUUAACUUUUUUACUAACUGAAUAGUGAAAGCUGGGAUUGUUUUCUCAUUGUCUUAAUCUCUACUUCUGUGUUAAUUUUCUUUCACCAAAAAAAGUCGUGUGUGUGUGUGUGUGUGUGUGUGUGUGUGUGUGUGUGUGUAAACCUGAUUUGACAGUAACUUACAGCAUUAUCAAUAUACACUUACAAAAACGCCAUUAAAUAUAUAUUUUUAUUCAGCCUGUUUUACGACAUUUUCUAUAGUUUUUCUUUAAAAUGUGUGUUUAUUUACUUAAAUACAUCUUAGAUAAAUAAGCCUUGUCAGGCCCUAAAUAUGGUCCUUUUAGGAAAUCUACUUUGAUGACUUAUAUUUAUUUUGAGUUUAGAGUUAAUGACCAAUACUUGGCCAUCAAUUAAACUUAUUGUAAUUGAUCAUUGAUGUGCUGUAGGCCUAAUAACACAUGAAUCAAAUUUACCUGUAGCAAAUAUGAGAGAAAAUCUGUAUUUUUUUCCAUUUUCAUACAUUAUCAGAUAAAAGAGAAAACGAAGAAAUACGAUGUCAGUCAUUUAGGCCUCAGUCUGCAAAACAAGCCCAGUAUUUCUGUAAAAGACCCAUCUCUUGAAGAGGAAAAAAUGAAGAGAAACCCGUCUCUAAUAAGUAAUUAAAUCAAUUACAACUCCUCUUUGAGUCCUCUCAUAUUUUGUAAAUAGGCUACAUACAGUAUGUGCUGAUGAUAUGAGAACUAAAGUCUGAAAUGUUUCAGGUGGAUUUACAGUUCAUCACGGAAAUAAAACUAAUUCGGCCUGUGGUACGAUCGCUUUAUGUGUAGGCCUCCAGUUUGUCGAUAAUGUACUCACAGACGGAGCGAAGUGUUUUCUCCGCAGUGUAGACGGAAACAACAAACAAAAAAACGCUGCUUACAAAAUCAAAGUCUCUCUAUCCAAAAGUCAGCACCUGUCUUUUCGUGUUUCUGCCCGCCAUCAUCACUGUGGGAGAGAGAGAGAGAGAGAGAGAGAGAGGGAAAAGCCCGAGUGUCGGUGUAAAGAUGUAAAAUAAAGGAAACGAUCAGAGAAGUGCAGCAGUAAUGAAUAGAGGCAGACAGGCUGCAUAUUAACAUAAUUGCAUAGAAACGAGCAGCAGCAGCAGAGAGGAUUUAAAGGCGCAGCAGCACCAAGAAGCUCAUCGGCCAGUUAGCAGAAUAAUCAAGUGGACUCAUAAUCAGAAAGAGGAUGCAGAAUGUGUACACUUUCAUUUCAUCUCCUUUUACUGUUGUAUUAAUUUUAUUUUCGUAAACUGUGUUUUUCCAUCAUGGUUCUGUAUGUAGAACCUGUUCCUGCAGUUUUCGAAAUGAUGCCCUUUAGGCCAUUAAAAUACUAAAAUGACGGGAUCUGUAUGUGGAUAUAUGAAUCCCAUAAUUCUUCCUAUAAUAACCAGCAGUGUAAGGCAGAGUUUAGUCCAGUCCCACUCAACCUGUCCUGAGAGAAUUUCUAACCUGGCCCCCUGAAGUUAUUUACGAUUUUUCCUCAAAACUUUCUUUUGUGUUCAUUUAUUAUGGAAAAUCCAUUUAAAGGAAUUUCUGUAAAUUAGAUUGUGUUUUGUGAAAUUGUUUCAAUAGUAAUAUGUUUUUUAUUCUUUUUCGUUUUUGUAAAGAUAGCCACUUUUAUAUGAAAAACAUUCACACAUACA
rnacentral:lncRNA from 1 species